AAUCCCGCAAAAAAUUAAAAACAAAAAGAAAAAGGCUCCGAUUCUGGCGCCUCUCACCCUUAUUCAUUCUCACCCACCAGAAUCAAGAAGAAACAAUCUCAGAUGUGAAGAAACACCCACAGAUCGAUCAUCUCCCUUCCACUCUCAUCACUCAUCAGCCCAUCAAAGAUACACGUACUCUCAGCACCACCAUAUAUUGCAACGCAUAUCUCUCUCGGUCUCUCUAUCUCAGUUUACAACUUCCGUCAUUGAUCGAAGAUACCAUAUGACUUGCUGUCUCCUCCGAACAAAAGGCAACUGUUUGAGUUUCUCAUUGUCUGCAAAAGCAUUGUUGUUCAGAAAUCGUUCUUGUUUAGUAUACCUCCAUCUGGACAAAGUCGGCCAUUAAAAGGUUGAUUAUUUUUGUUACUUUGGUCCUGCAAUUUAGCUAUCACAAUAGCUUUUUGUUUUUUGGUCUGAUAGGUUUUUGAACAUAUAUAUGCAUUACUUGGCUAGCACAUAUGAUUGGGUUGCUGGGGAUGAGACUUUUGCUUUAAAGGCAGAGUCUUUGAGGUUUUUAAAAAGCGAUUUGGAAUGUGAAAUUGAAUGGCUUUUGUCCCUUUUGUUUCUGGCUCUCUUUUACUAAUGAUUAAAAUUGUUAUUUUUUUUUCCUUCUGCGUUUGGAUGAACUGUUGAUAAUGGUGUUGUCAUUAACGUGUGGAUUAUAGUUGUUAGUCUGGUAUGAAUUUAUUGAUAUGUAUGGUUUAUUGAGAAAAUGUACUACAAUAUAUUGACUGUUUGCAAGUUGUGGCCUGAGAAAAUGAAACUUGGUUGUAGUUUUAUUCCUUUGUUGGAGUGUUAGAGUACACGUAGUGAUAAGCAUUUUUGAGGAUGGUAGGUUUGCAAAUUCAUCAUGAGAAGCAAAUGAUGCAAAUGCAUGCUGAGGCAUGCCAGAACCAAAUGCAGAUUCUUGGGGUCAUGGCUAGUUUUGUUCAAUUUUUUGGGUCAAUGCAUGAUGGCCUUGGAGGUGGUUUAGGGACUCUGCCACCUCAAAUUUUGCAGAAUUUGCUGCAUCCAGGCGGACUGGGUGACAAUGGGAAGCCGAAUUCCUAUUUGCCUUCUGAGUUCCUCUAGACUGUAAUUUAAACCCCUUGCUACAUAGUACGUAUACUUUAAUUUUGGAUGUAGUCUGACAAGGUUUUUUAUUUGUUACUUAAUAGUCUGUGCAUGUUGGUUAUUUGAAAUGUUAAGGCAUCCAAUGUUAUUAUGCCACUAAAGUGCUGUUUUGCCAUAAUUUUGGAUGCUUAUUUUGGAUGGGGUUUGAUAUUGAGAAAUGAUUCCAGUCAGGGAUAUGGAAGUAUUUCACAUGAUAGAAAUCAUUCAGAUUUUGAAGUAUUACCAAUGGCAGUAAAGUUUCUGACUACCGUUAUCCUUGUACAUUCAAUUCUCAUUCUAUAAUUUGUUCUAUAAUAUACACUUUUUCUUUUCAAUGUAUUUUCUGCCUUUUCUACUAGCAUCUUCAUCGGUUUCGCAUCAUUUAGUACUGAGGAUCACACAACCCUUUGGUAAGUCAAUUACCUUUCUCUAUUUCUUUUAUCUUUUGAUUAUCUGUUCCAGCUCCCGUAGUUUCCUGCCUGGAAUUACCUGGUAUAAAAUUUGUUUUAGUGUUUGUCACAUGAUAUAUAGAAUUUGAGUAUUGCACGUUUAUCUUUGAAUAUUCUUUUAACUUUGUUAAGCGAUUUUAUCUUUCUAGUAAUUUAUUUUGUUUUAAUAAUAUUGAUGUCAUGGUUAUAUUUAUCCCUUAUUUUUCAAGGUAUGGUUGCUUUCUGUAUUAGUAACCUGGGCUUAUAACUUAGUUAAGAUGGUCGCAAUAGCUUUAAGGGUUUGUCAUUGACUUUCUCAACUGAUUACUUAAGAAAGUUAUGCCCCAUAGUUUAUAUUUGUUGUUUAGGCUUGACUUUUUAAUUUCAAAAGCUACAAUCCCACAUUUGGCUUUCUUAAAACCUAAAGGCCGGUAGCUGUUGAAUUUCAGCUUUCACUCUAUCCACUUUUAUAGUUGUCUACCCUGAUUUAAACUGACCAGGAACUAAAACAUUAAGAGGAGCAUUGGCAAUGCCAUUGAUGAUCCAAGGAAUGAAGAAGGAUGUUAUUUAGUAUUCCAUCAUUACAUGCCGAAAACCUGAAUAGACCACAGUAUGAUGGGGGGUUUCUACAGAAUGAGGAUCAUAAUCAAUAAGUGAAGCAUGACAGUGCCAUUGGUGAUUUAAGGACAAAUGAAAGGUCCAAGUAUUCGAUGGAAACAAAAUCAGUAGAGGCAUCUUAUUUAUCCCCAAAUGUGUGCCUUUAAUCAUCAGUCAUCACACAAUUUCUCGCUAUACCUCAUUUUUUAUAUAUGGUAAGUAUGCAAAAACAACUCAACCCUGCAUCAUCGCGCGGGCUACUUGACUAGUUCAUAUAAUUUUAUGUUUUUCAUUUGCUUAAUGGUUUCGGCCUUAUAAAAUUACAGUUGGGCCUUAUGAGAAUUCUUUAAAUUGCAUCCUUAUCCAAAAUUCUUUUAAUGGAUUCCUCUUAUUUUGCAGAAUUGUAGGUUUCAUUUAGUUCGAAAUCCAUUUAUCUCUAUAUUGCAACAAUAUCUGAACUGAUUGAACAAAGUACUUCGUUCCAUACACUAUCCAAUUGAUUUUUCCUCUAGUUCUUAACUACAUGCUGACCCAUUUUUUAUAUUUAUUCGAGCUGAAGCUGUUUGGCCAUGGUGAGAAGGAAGCAAACCGCUAAUCGUAUUCGAAAUUCCACUUUGGGGGGUAAUGCUAAAAAGAUCCAAUCCAAGAGCCAGAAACAGAACGACUCAGGGCGUGUUGGAGGACACCUAAGCGUACCGGUCAAAGAACCAAUAACCUGCCUGGGGUUGUAAUGGCCAUUUGAAGGGUUGAUUUUGGCACUUUUAUAUGACAGCACUUCUAAUGGAAAUACGUUGACCCCCUUGGGCUUUUAGUGAUGCCAAUUUAGUUUAUGGUGUUUUACCAUAAUUCUCUCUAGCAAUAAUGCUUCCCAAUUUAGUCUACGUUAUGUUUCACCGGAUAAGUAGGCAUUGCAUUAUGGUUAUUUCUUGAUACAUGUCCUGCCCAUGCUAAGCUCAGCUCAAAGAACACAAGUGUAAACCAUGUUGUAGUCUCCAAUGUGAUGUUUUCGAAACCAAAGAUGUAGACGAGAAAAAAGUCAACUAAU